rnacentral:rRNA from 1 species
UUAACACAUGCAAGUCGAGGGGCGAUCGGGAGGGGAAGGCUUGCUUUCCUUGCCGGCGACCGGCGCACGGGUGAGUAACACGUAUGCAACCUGCCCUCUUCAGGGGGACAACCUUCCGAAAGGAGGAAUCCGGUGGCGGCUGGGCAUGCGGCGCAUUAGCUUGACGGCGGGGUAACGGCCCACCGUGGCGACGAUGCGUAGGGGUUCUGAGAGGAAGGCCCCCCACACUGGAACUGAGACACGGUCCAGACUCCUACGGGAGGCAGCAG